rnacentral:lncRNA from 1 species
GUAGUACUAUGAUGUGCCAAAUCUUGUAUAAGAUUAAUUUAUUUUGGGACUAAGGGAGUAGGCGCACUGAGAUGAAACAUGUUCUAUCUAAAUGACCAAACGACAAGAACCGUAUCCGAGAGUGACGUGGUUUCAAUUACUAAGCCUCCAGUCCACAUGAUGUUGAGUCAUCCCAGCCCUUUUUACAGCACAUGAUAGUUUUUUUUCUUUCUUUUUGAGAGGACAACAUGAUAGGUACUUGUGUUUUAUCCCAACCAAGAAAAGGUCUAAUGCAUAUUCGCUUCCUGCGUUUCUCCUGACCAUAUGUAUAUCUCUAACCAUUUCUGGAAGCUAUCUUGUGGAGUGGGAAAUAAUAUGGAAAAAAUUCGUCCUCACAAUGCCUUGCAGGAUUGAGGCCGAUGGAAGAAUAAGCAGCAUGGUCUAGGAUGGUUUCUCAUCUCGUUGGCUUCAGUUUUAUUGAUUGAGAUGCUGAAGUCAGAUUCAUAAACCAUCACUCAUUGGUAUACAGAGAAUAACAAUGCAAUCACCAUCACAAAUCACAACCACAACUGCGAAGCUCAUUACAGCAGCAUGAGCAAAUUGCAGUUUCAUACUUUCAUGCCAGUAGUUCUACUUUUUUUUUUCUAGGUUUUGCAAUGAGCUUGUACAAAUAAUUGGCCCAUAUUUUAUACGGAUCUGCCUGAUCCUAUUAUUAUCAACUUUGCAUCAUUUGCUACAAAUUGUGCCAUACAUUAUGGAUCUAUCCAUAUAGCAGUAUAUAUUUGUUUCAAAAUGUGACAGUAAUCCACUUCUUUUAUAGGAAAAAGAGUUUCUUCUGGUCCUCUUGGCGCAGGGUUGAGAACUUUAAUGAAUGGUCCAAAAGAAGGUACAAUCAAAUAUGGCACACUGAAUUCUCAUUGAGAAGCAGUUAUGCAGGGUUGAGAACUUUAAUGAAUGGUCCAAAAGAAGGUACAAUCAAAUAUGGCUCACUGAAUUCUCAUUGAGAAGCAGUUAUCAGAAUGUGAGUAACAUACAUGCUAUGUCAACAUCUUGGAAGGAUCACAAUUAUAAAGUAUCUAUACUGCAUUAAAAGAACUUGAGUAUACCAU